UGCCAGCAGCCGCGGUAAUACGGAGGGGGUUAGCGUUGUUCGGAAUUACUGGGCGUAAAGCGCACGUAGGUGGAUUAGUCAGUCAGAGGUGAAAUCCCAGGGCUCAACCCUGGAACUGCCUUUGAUACUGCUAGUCUAGAGUUCGAGAGAGGUGAGUGGAAUUCCAAGUGUAGAGGUGAAAUUCGUAGAUAUUUGGAGGAACACCAGUGGCGAAGGCGGCUCACUGGCUCGAUACUGACACUGAGGUGCGAAAGCGUGGGGAGCAAACAGGAUUAGAUA
rnacentral:rRNA from 1 species